rnacentral:rRNA from 1 species
UACGGAGGGUGCAAGCGUUAAUCGGAAUUACUGGGCGUAAAGCGUGCGUAGGUGGUUUGUUAAGCCCGUUGUGAAAGCCCCGAGCUCAACUUGGGAAUUGCAGUGGAUACUGGCAAGCUGGAGUGCGGUAGAGGAAGGUGGAAUUCCCGGUGUAGCAGUGAAAUGCGUAGAGAUCGGGAGGAACACCAGUGGCGAAGGCGGCCUUCUGGACCAGUACUGACGCUCAUGCACGAAAGCGUGGGGAGCAAACAGG